rnacentral:tRNA from 1 species
GUUUAGUUAGUCUAUAUAGGAUUUUAGUUUGUGGAGCUUAAAGGAGCAUAAUAAUAUGUAUUAGACC